UAGAAUAUGUUUUUUGUUUUUGUGUCUAAAGCCUUUCAGCUUCAAGAGGGAAGAGGCAAUGAAUGGUAGAGAGACAAAAGAUGAAGUCCUAAGAACUUUUAAUGGUGGCUAUGAUAAGGACCUGAUUUGAUACAUGAAACAGAGGAAUCUUUUGAUGCACUUUCUAUACAAGAGGAAAGAGCACCGUCACAGCUCACUGAUUUGACCAAAGGAGAAGCUGUAUCACCAAGACUCGCCAACUUAUGCCCUGUAGGUUGUCUGCUAUACUCCAACAAAGAAUUAAUUCUUCUGACGGACUGACGAACAGGAGUACGCUGAAACUUAAGAGGUGACUUGACUUUUAUUCUAU
rnacentral:lncRNA from 1 species